GGCAUGGUAGCUGAGUGGGUAAAGCAUUUAACGCUAUUUACUUCGUACCAAAGGUCGAUGGUUCGAUUCCAUCCUGGAGAAAGUUA